AGUCCUCAGAGGUCACUGCAGAAAAAGCAGGCCCCAAUGUGCAGUGGAAGCUCUCCUCACCUGUGUUUGAUCACACUUGUGCCUGCAGGCCCUCUCGGUGGAUUACCAGAGCGGAGUCCUGUCCCUGAGCCUGCAGUGGAUUCCAGAGGUGUGAGUGGAGUUGAGUGGGAUCCAGCUUCCCAGCUGAGCUUCAGGACUGAAGCCCCAGCAACUCGUAUGGGUCCUGAGAGAUUGAGAAAGACACGGGAAAGAGGAAAAUAUCCCCAGACGCUGUCCCAUAUGCUAAUGAGAAUCAUGAAGGACAAGGCAGCGCAUGAGACAGACAGAGAGCCUGUGCACAGGGAUGCAUUUCAGCAAGGCAGCCAUCGCACACUGCCCGUCCCUCUGGGAGAAACAGAGGCCACACACACAACUGGCGCUCCAGGUGUGGAUGGUGAAGGACAUGCGAAUGCCACAGAAGAUGAAGAUCUACUGAAGUACUGCCUUGCACUUACUGCGGCUCUCCUGGUUUCCAUGCUGGCAGCGAUGAUUACGUUCUGUCUUGUUAUCCGGCGAUGUAGGCAGAGAAACCAGUGAGUUGUUGUUCACCCCCAUCCCCAUCCUGCCCAUCUCUUUACUAUAGGGCUGCUAUAAAAAAGCUAUAUAAAAGCCAGGAGGCAUUUCUAGUUAAAGCAGCGUGGAGAGGCCAGUUAGUUGUUGGCUUACAUGGUCUGAGAUUUACACUGUCAGAUGUUUUAAUUGGCCUUGCCAUUCCUGCAUCCUGUCUUUACUGCUAGGCCUGAGACAGGCUGGGAGCUGAGGGUGGCUCUUUGCCAUGUGCUGUGAGGAAGAAGAGCAGGGGCUUUCAUGUGCCCUCAGCACAUUUCUCUCUCCGCAGGCACCUUGCUGCAGCUGCCGGAGCCUGGCCCGAUGCCCACGGCCACAACUCGCACUUGGAUGGACGGCCUGCUCACCUCAAGGUGCCCGACCGACAGACACAGCAUGGACAGCCACCACCUGUGCAGGGACAACCUGCCCUCCUGCCGCAGAGCCCCACCAGAGCAGACUCUGCUGGGCCAGACAGCUGCCAGGCUCAGUUGCCCCCGCCUCAGACUCCACAGCCCACCAGCC
rnacentral:lncRNA from 1 species